GGUGACAGCGGAGGGAUCAUUACAGAGUUGCAAAACUCCAAACCAUUGUGAACGAACCCGUUAUAGUUGCUUCGGCGGGUGGUGCGCUGAAAUCACCCGCCGAUAGCAUGCAAUUUCUAGAUUACAGUGGAUCUCUGAGUAACUUAUUUAAUAAGUCAAAACUUUCAACAACGGAUCUCUUGGUUCUGGCAUCGAUGAAGAACGCAGCGAAAUGCGAUAAGUAAUGUGAAUUGCAGAAUUCAGUGAAUCAUCGAAUCUUUGAACGCACAUUGCGCCCGCUAGUAUUCUGGCGGGCAUGCCUGUUCGAGCGUCAUUUCAACCAUCAAGCCCUAUCCAAGCUUGUGUUGGGGCCCUGCGGCUGCCGCAGCCCCCUAAAUGCAGUGGCGGGCUCGUUGUCACUCCGAGCGCAGUAGCGUAUCUCGCUCUGGGCGUGGCGACGGGUGCUAGCCGUGAAACACUCACUAAGGUUGACCUCGGAUCAGGUUGGAAUACCCGCUGAACUUAAGCAUAUCAAUAAGCGGAGGA
rnacentral:rRNA from 1 species